CAUCCCUAGCUGCAUCACACUGUCUGCCCCAUGGGGACCUGGAGCACAAUGUGUCCUCAGCAUCCCUAGCUGCAUCACACUCAUCCCUAGCUGCAUCACACUGUCUGCCCCAUGGAGACCUGGAGCACAAUGUGUCCUCAGCAUCCCUAGCUGCAUCACACUCAUCCCUAGCUGCAUCACACUGUCUGCCCCAUGGGGACCUGGAGCAGAAAGUGUCCUCAGCAUCCCAUUGCUG